ACUCCCAGGGGAUGGAGGAGGCCCAAGCGAGGCGAGCCGCCGGCCUCCGCCGAGGGCCGGGGAAGGGAUGGAAUCCUGUCAGCCGGGGUCCGAGCCCGAAAGCUCGGCCUGAGGCAGGGGGAGGGGCGUGCGUUGCUGAGGAGACCCUCCCCCAGGGCGCUAGCUCGGGGUAGGGGGUGGGAGUCUGCCUGGGAGUCUCACGGAGGCCGGGGAACAGGGAAAGGGAAGCAGACGUGGGGGCGCGGAAGCCCGGGGGCGAGGGAGUAGAGAGAAGGAGGGAGGUCCAGGCCAGACCCCCUAGCCCGUCAAGCCGGGGACUCCGGAAGUGAGAGCACAGACUGGACAGGAUCAGAAGUAGAGAAUGCAGUUUUUAAGAGAAAGGGAGAGACAGAAGAAAAGAUGCAGUAAUUCAAGGAGAAAAGCAGGAUUCAAGAAUGAGAAGUCAAUCUUCGAUUAAGGAGCAUCUGGAAGACUAGAAAUAUGUCAGGAAGAAUAAAAUAGACCAGGAAUCAUCUUAAAGUAAAUUAAAACCUCUAACUUAAAAUAAUGAUUGGAAAUCACCUAAUGUAAAUACUUGCUGAUUGAAGUUUUUAAAGAAAUACUAUUCUUAUGCAUUUAUUACUUUGGGUGAAUUAUUAACAAUGUUUAUCCUGUGGAGUUAUUCAGCUGAAAAUACUUUUAAGAAUUUGGUACAUGACAAGUAUGUAUAUUUUUGUAUGUUUUUUAAAUUUAGUUGCAUUCCUUAUUUAUCUGGAUUGUAGUCUAGAUUGACAUUCCUAGAUACCGAUUAGGUUUCCAUAAUUUCUUUUUUUUUUAAUUUAAAUUGCAUUUUAUCCAAUUUAAGCAAAUUCUGAAUUUCACACAACUGUUAAGAAAUUAUUUUAGGAAAGCAAGAAACCUUCCAAAAGUAGAUAACUCUUAACUAAGAUAUUUGUGCUUUAUAUAUCCCCAAGUGUAAUACUUUUACUAUUUCAAUGCUUUGGAUUUUUACAUUAAAAGAAGAUAUCUAAUAAA